UACAGAGGUCUCAAGCGUUGUUCGGAUUCAUUGGGCGUAAAGGGUGCGUAGGCGGCGGGGCAAGUCUGAUGUGAAAUCCCGGGGCUCAACCCCGGAACUGCAUUGGAUACUGCCUUGCUUGAGUACUGGAGAGGGAACUGGAAUUUACGGUGUAGCAGUGAAAUGCGUAGAGAUCGUAAGGAAGGCCAGUGGCGAAGGCGAGUUCCUGGACAGUGACUGACGCUGAGGCACGAAGGCCAGGGGAGCAAACGGG
rnacentral:rRNA from 1 species